CGAAGAAAUACCUGAAAAUUAUGACUUUAUGAAUAUCAUACCAGAUAGAUUUUUACCACUAGUUACAGCGAACGCCGUGGGCCGUACUCGACCGUUACCUGAUGCUGACGUUUACGAUAUUCCUGCAGAAUGGUAUCCUAGUCCUGAUACAGAAUUAGUUCCACCCGAUACCUCCGCUCUCGAUAUAGAGCCUAGCAGCCGACGUCACAGACGAGCAUACCAGAGGUCCCGCCAUGAAGAGCAAAGGGUUCCAUGUUAUGCCAGUGGUGAUGUAGGUGUAUCAGAUGAUCGUUGUGUUGCUUCUACCGCUGGUACAAG